UACUGAAUAACAAUGCAAACAUAAACAUACAACACAACAUGGAAAAAUUUACCUUACUCCGAUUAUCUCUGUUAUCGUAUUUUGUGCGAGGAUAAAGAUUGAUUGGAAAAAGUAAAUGGACUAUCCACAUUCUUGCCCGCACCUUAAAAUGCGGGCUUUUUUUAUCAAAU
rnacentral:ncRNA from 1 species